rnacentral:misc_RNA from 1 species
AAAGAGUUCUAUAACUCCCAAACCCAUGUGAACAUACCUUACGUUGCCUCGGCAGGUCGCGCCUACCUAGUAGCACCCUACCCUGUAGGCCUACCCGGGAGACGCGGGUAAGCCUGCCGGCGCCACGAAACUCUGUUUAAUAUUGAAUUCUGAACAUAUAACUAAAUAAGUU